rnacentral:rRNA from 1 species
UCCUGCCAGCUUAACGAUUCGCCCGUGUGCCAAGCAGCCGCGGUAAUUCCAGCUCCAAUAGCGUAUAUUAAAGUUGUUGUGGUUAAAAAGCUCGUAGUUGGAUCUCGGCGGACUGAGGGCGGUUUGCUUGCUAGUAUUACUGCCCUAUAGUCCGUAGUUUUGCCAGAGGUUUCGGGGUGCUCUUAAUCGAGUGUCCCGGGAUGCUGGCAGGUUUACUUUGAAAAAAUUAGAGUGCUCAAAGCAGGCUAUUACGCCUGAAUAUUCGUGCAUGGAAUAAUAGAAUAGGAAGUCGUUUCUAUUUUGUUGGUUCUCGGAAAUCGACUUAAUGAUUAAUAGGGACAGUCGGGGGCAUUUGUAUUCAAACGACAGAGGUGAAAUUCUUGGACCGUUUGAAGACAAACUACUGCGAAAGCAUUUGCCAAGAAUGUUUUCAUUAAUCAAGAACGAAAGUUAAAGGUUCGAAGGCGAUUAGAUACCGCCCUAGUUUUAACCAUAAACGAUGCCAGCUAGCGAUCUGCGGACGUUUUUUUUGUAGACUCCGCAGGAAGCUUCCGGGAAACCAAAGCAUUUGGGUUCCAGGGGAAGUAUGGUUGCAAAGCUGAAACUUAAAGGAAUUGACGGAAGGGCACCACCAGGAGUGGAGCCUGUGGCUUAAUUUGACUCAACACGGGAAAUCUCACCAGGCCCGGACACUGGAAGGAUUGACAGAUUGAUAGCUCUUUCUUGAUUCGGUGGGUGGUGGUGCAUGGCCGUUCUUAGUUGGUGGAGUGAUUUGUCUGGUUAAUUCCGAUAACGAACGAGACUCUGUCCUGCUAAAUAGUGUCUGCUUCUCUUUUGAGCAGACAAUUCUUCUUAGAGGGACUGGCGACUCUUAGUCGCACGAGAUUGAGCAAUAACAGGUCUGUGAUGCCAAGGCGAAUUUCGC